ACAGUGUUUCUCACACAGUAAUACACAGCCAUGUCCUCGGGCCUCAGGCUGUUCAUUUGCUGAUACAGGAAGUUCCUGGAAUUGUCUCUGGAGAUGAUGAAUCGGCCCUUCACAGAGUCUGCAUAGUGCGUCCUACUGCCAUUCCAACUAACACCCGAUACCCACUCCAGCCCCUUUCCUGGAGCCUGGCGGACCCAGUUCAUGUCACUGUUACUGAAGGUGAAUCCAGAGGCUGCACAGGAGAGUCUCAGGGACCCCCCAGGCUCUACCAAGCCUCCCCCAGACUCCACCAGCUGCACUGUUGUACCCAGCACCUUUGGAGCUUCCACAUCUGGCUUGGCUCCCAGAGUGUCCAAAUCCUGCUGCAAGGUCGACACCUCCUGCUCCCAUGACUGGCAGGUCGCGAUGAUCUUCGUGGGUACCAGCCGGCUCCGGGAACAGUAUACACAAGUCGACUGCAAAGGUGACUUCCUUGGAGGUACCAGCCUUCCAAGUAGUAUUGGCGAAAACACGUCCUGUUGUGAGAGAGGUGAGGGGGAAGGAGUAGGAAGGCACAGAAGACAUUACAGGCAAGGAUAAACAAAAGAAGCAAAUAAAAAGAGUUAAUUUAACAGUUUCACCCGACUUAGGUGUAGUUUUAAGGGUCCUGAUCCAGGCUUGGGGACCCAUGUUUCUGUUUGGGCUUUGUUGGCCUUUUUGAUGUGGGAGUGAUGAAUCCAAGCAGGAAUUCCGUCCACCUUCAGAGCUGUUGGCGUCGUGAGGAUGACGGUGUGAGGUCCCUUCCAAGCAGGAGUUAGGCCCUCUCUCUGGAACUUUUUAACAAACACCAGGUCACUGAGCUGGAAUGAAUGGCAGGGCCCCAUCUGGUCAGGAACUGGACUGGGAUGGGCUUCUCAAACAAGUGGCAGAAUGAUCUCUUGUACCUGUUGGAGAGACUGCAGGUACUGUAAUAAAUUAGCUUGUGAUAUUUCUGCAAAAUGGGCAUCUUUUAGCUUAGGCAAGAUAGGUGGUGCCCGCCCAUAUAUAAUUUCAAAAGGUGAGAACCCAGCCUGAUAAGGGGUGCACCUUACUCUAAGUAGGGCUAAAGGAAGGAGUUUUACCCAAUUUUCACUGGUGUCUAGAAUUAAUUUUGUAAGAGUAUUUUUUAGGGUAUGGUUCAUGCAUUCCACCUGUCCAGAGCUCUGGGGUUGAUAGGCACAAUGGAGCUUCCACUGAAUGUUUAAUGCCUUACUGACUGAUUGAGCUAUGGACGAGGUGAAGGCAGGUCCAUUAUCAGACCCUAUGGCAGCAGGCAACCCGUACCAGGGGAUGAUUUCAUUGAGUAAGAACUUAACUACUGUGUUAGCUGUCUCGUUCUUGGUAGCAAAUGCCUCAGUCCAUCCGGAGAAGGUGUCUACUGAUACUAAAAGGUACUUGUACACAGCCCGGUGUGGCUUUACCUCUGUAAAGUCAAUUUCCCACUUUUCUCCUGGCGAGUUUCUUCGGAGACGGUGACCUGGGCUGGGUUUAGGACCUUGCUUGGCAUUUACCUGGGCGCAGGCUGUGCACCAGAGAACUGCUUGAUCUGUUAGGCUUUGUAGAUGAGGGAUCUUAAAACAGCUCCGGAGGAGCUGAGCUAAUUUUGUCCCACCAAAUGGGUGGUAGAAUGUAGGUGACUGACUAAAGUUUCUCCAAGAGCUGGGGGUACGAAGAUUCUAGAGUCAGGAAGAAUCCACCAACCUUUUUGAUUUUUAUUUGCUCUAAGGUUUGCAGCCAGUUUUUCUUCUUCUGUUGAGUACGCGGGGUUGUCAGGCAGAUCUGGCUGUGGAAAAGAAACUGCCGGUAGCAGGUUUAUGGACGGAGCUGAAGACAGCGCCACUUCCCGAGCUGCUGAAACCGCUUUUGGGUUACCGCGGGCAACAGCCGUGUUUUCUUUUUGAUGUCCUUUACAAUGGAUUACAGCCACUUGUUGAGGGAGCCACACAGCUUCAAGCAGGGCUAAAAUUUCCUCUUUGUUCUUAAUUAUUUUUCCUUCUGACCUGAGCAACCCGCGUUCUUAGUAGAUGGCUCCAUGUACAUGCACAGUAGCGAAAGCAUACCUGCUGUCAGUAUAAAUGUUAAUACGUUUAUCUUUAACCCAUCGGAGAGCUUGAGUAAGGGCAAUCAAUUCAGCUUUUUGUGCUGAGGUGCUUGCCGGUAAAGCCUGAACCCACAACACAUCUGUCUCUGUGGUAACAGCUGCACCAGCUUUGCGUAUCCCCUGUUCGAGAAAACUGCUGCCGUCGGUGAACACGGUGGCGUCCGCCUUUCUCAGGAGCACAUCUUGAAGAUCUGGCCUGCCAGUUUCGGUAGCUUCUAACAGCUCCUGACAGUCAUGGACAGGAGUAUUAGAAUCUGGAUCUGGGAGUAAAGUAGCAGGAUUUAAACACCUUGUGGGAGAGAAAGUCAAACAAGGCUGAUCCAACAGUAAACUCUGAUAUUGUAAAAUACGAGCAUUUGACAUCCAUUUACCUGAAGCACUUCGUAGUCAAGUCUCUACAGCAUGAGGAACUGUAAGGGUUAAAUUCUGGCCUAGAGUUAAUUUAUCAGUUUCUUGGACUAGGCUUGCUGUAGCCACUAUGGCUGGCAAACAACUUGGCCAUCCUGAGGCCACAGGAUCCACCUUCUUAGAUAAAUAAGCCACUGGGCCUCUCCAAGUUCCUAAAGUCUGAGUAAGCACUCUCUUAGCAACUCCCUGGCUCUCAUGGACAAACAGAUGAAAAGGCUUUGAGAUAUUUGGGAGGGCUAAAGCCUGGGCUGCAGUUAAAGCCUUUUUCAGAUUCUGAAAAGCCUGUUCCUCGGUGUCUGUCCAAAUCAGUGGGCCAUUACCUUUUGUAGCAGUAUACAAAGGCUUUGUAAUCUCUGCAAACCCCGAUAUCCAAAGACGACAAUAUCCCAGGGCUCCUAGGAAUUCAUGUACCUGUCUCUUGGUGGCGGGAGUGGGGAUUCGCAGGAUGGCUUCUUUCCGGGCACUAGUGAGUGCCUUUUUUCCUUUGUUUAUCUUGUACCCCAGGUAGGACACUCUGGGAAGACAAAGCUGGGCCUUUUUGGCUGAGACUCCAUACCCGAGCUCCUGAAGGAGGUAGAGCAGGUCUCUUGUGUGUUGUAGACAACCAUCCAUAGUUUCAGUUGUUAUUAAAAUGUCAUCUACAUAUUGGAGAAGAGUACAGUUAAGGUGACUGGCUCGGAAGGGUAUAAGAUCUUGCUGAAGAGCCUCUCCAAAAAGGGUAGGGGAAUUUUUAAAACCCUGAGGUAACUGAGUCCAAGUCAGUUGGGUAGUGUCUCCUGAUCUUGGAUCUGUCCAUUUGAAAGCAAAAAUCGGCUGGAUUUUGGGGGCCAGAGGGAUAGCAAAGAAAGCAUCUUUCAGGUCAAGGACAGUGUAUACUGUAUGUUCUGGUGGGAGCAGGCUGAGUAGAGUAUAGGGAUUAGGAAUGGUUGGGUGGACAGCAACAGUCCAUUUAUUAACGUCCCUUAAGUCUUGUACUGGCCAGUAAUCAUUUGUUCCAGGUUUCUGGACCGGCAAAAAUGGCGUGUUCCAGGCCGACUGGCAUGGGGGUUCAAGGAGUGAGAGCAGAGCGAAGUCUUGGAGACGCUGAACUUGCUGUUGCACUGGAAAACGAGAUGUGCGGGAUUUCCAAAAGAAGGAUGGAAGAUAGAAGAGAGAGAGAGAGGUCUGCCAGAAACCAAGGCUUAGCUCUCCAGCGUCCUGGGUCUUGAGCUAAGUCAAGGGAGGGUCCUGGUCAGGACCACUUCCCACCCAAACCAAGAUACGAAGGCGCCUACCGGAAAACGAAGGCUCAACCCACUAGCAUCCUAGAGUAAUGGGCUGAGUCAAAAGAGGGACGCCCUCGUCAGGGCCGCUCCCCUCUCACCGGAAACGAAGUCACAUCCGACCUACCUGACCCCGGGGUCAGAAGCUGAGGACUCAGCGCCCUCGUCAGGGCCGCUCCCCUCUCACCGGAAACGAAGUCACAUCCGACCUACCUGACCCCGGGGUCAGAAGCUGAGGACUCAGUGCCCUCGUCAGGGCCGCUCCCCUCUCACCGGAAACGAAGUCACAUCCGACCUACCUGACCCCGGGGUCAGAAGCUGAGGACUCAGCGCCCUCGUCAGGGCCGCUCCCCUCUCACCGGAAACGAAGUCACAUCCGACCUACCUGACCCCGGGGUCAGAAGCUGAGGACUCAGAUGUUGACUUUUAGGGCGCUGACACAGUGGUCGAUCCGCUCUCCUCUGGAAGGCGGUCACUCUUUGCAGACCUGAAAAUUCUUUCCUCAGGUGGUGUCCCUCCUCCGAGCUGGCCAUCCUUCCGGGGGAGCCCGGAGCGAGACCGGCUCUCGCCCAGUGGUGUUAAUAUCUCGCUGCGGCCUCCAAAAAUGUUGUACCCAGGCGAGUUAGAGAAAACGCCACACUUUGAGACGAAUUAAGAGUCCUUUAUUAAGCCAGCGGCCAAAGAGACGGCUAAUGCUCAAAAUUCUCUGGGCCCCGAGGAAGGGGCUUGAUUAACUUUCAUACCUAGGUUUAGGAAGGGGAGGGGAACUCAAGUGCAAUAAUUCUACGGAAGUAAAAACAUGCAAGAAUCAAAAGAAGCAAAAUGGUUACAGAGAGAUAAACAAUUUAAAAGACAAAUGGUUACAAAAAGAGCAACAGUACCAGGUGCAGGGCUCUAAAUCUUUCAUUAUAAUUAGAUAUAGGGGCUAUGCCGGGCAUGAACUCAAGGCUUUAUGUUGUUAUCUCCUUGAGAAAAAUCCUGGGAACUUCAUACAUUGUUGGUGCUAGUACCUUAUCAGUUAACUGGGCUCCUUUGAAAUGCUGAGAAUCUGUUUACACAGGUUAACUCCUUACGGAAGGGGGUUGGGUGAGGAGCCCUUAGUGUCUUGUAAAUUAAGGGGUCAAUUGGAGUUUGUCCAGCUUUCCCAGCUAGAGAGAGUCUUACUUACAUGAGAAGCAAGGCUAGGUGAUUAAAGAGACAAACAGGGAAGAUUCAAAGUAGUGAGUUAGAGUGAAAACAAGGUUAGGCAUUUCAACUGACCACAAUACUCAGACAACAGCUCCCCCGCUACCCAGGAAAAAAAAAUAGCUGGCAUUCACUACAAAGCACUAUGAUUAAAUGUGUACUACAGGUCCCAAGGCUGCAGACAACCACAGACACUGUUAUCUGGCAUAGCAUUUUAAGGGCUCAGAGUUCUCAUCAGGAGGUAACUGAGAGCCAUAAAUGAACAAUGUUUUUCAGGAAUGUGCAGGGUUUAAACAAUCCAGGUCUGCUGAGUUAACCUUCUACUGUACACAAAUCCAGAUUAGAGGGCAGCAGGGACGUUCAAUGGAUGGCCAGACUCAGGAGAGAGGGUAGAGAUGGUCAGGUUAGGACCCCAAGGAGCAGCCUGGGAGACUGUAGGAGUGAAACUGAGAACCUCCUGAGGGGCCUAUGGGUGUACAUAGCUGUGAGUUUAACUAAAGCUGUUGGGUUUCCCAGGAGCCCAAGAAAAUGGUACUACAGUGAAGGGUGUGGGGAAGUGGCCAUAAACGUCAGUGGGUGUGUGCAGGAGGGGAAGGGAGCCAAUGGAGUUAAGAAAGAGGAAAGAGACCAAGGGAUAUGGGCAUUCCUUACAGAAGCAGGUUCAGAAAUAAGCUUUCAGAUGCCUCUUGCCUGGACUUCCAUCAAUAUGUCAAAUAUAAAUUUGAGGUAUGUUUCCCAUCUGACAAAUACCACAGAGUGAGGAAAGAGCUGGAGGCGUUGCUAGGAGAGAACACCCUGGACGUGACCACAGCCCCUUUUGUCCUCACACUGCCCUGCCUGUCCUCUAUCCUCACAGCGUGGAGGUUCUCAUCUUUGCCCUGCCUGUCCUCUAUCCUCACAGCGUGGAGGUUCUCAUCUUUGUCCUGUGGUGGGAAAAACAUCUGGUUCUUGGAACACUAAGAAGACCUCCAGAAUCAUGUAGGUGAUUACGUCUACUAUAAAUCUUGCAUUUCCAAACAAGUUCUCUAUCUACUUUUCAUCAAUGUGUUCGUGAAGCUUCAGGGUAAAUGAAAUAAGGCAGUCACUAAAUAGUGAAAAAAGUCACCUAUUUACUCAUGUUCAGAUGACUCCCGGGUUUCAGAAUCAAAGAAUUGGACAGAGAAGCACAACCGUUGGUGCCCAGGACUUCUGGACACCACACAUGGAAACUGAAAUUCACAAAACACCCCUUAUAGUAAAAUGGAGAUCCUCGCUUUCAUGCAAUGUUUGAGGUCCUUUGAUCAAUUAGGAAAUACUAAAGGUUGAUUUGUUAAAGAAAAAAUGUAUAUAUGAAGACACUUGUUCCAGCACAGUAAGGAAGACUUCAUCCAGGGCCCUCAUGAUAGGUGUAGGGACCAGGGCAGUGGGAUUUUGCAGUGGGGGAGAGAUUCAGCAGAACUCCAAAUACAGAAUGAGAACGUGAGGAUUUAUAGGCAUACAGCAGGGUUGGGGCACAGGAUGGAAAAUCACCAAGAAGAAACAUCAGGAGUGAGGUAAAUCCUGCUUAGGGCAGCCUGCCAGGAUUUUUGUUGAAGUUAGACCAGGGUGAUCAGAUGUCACCCAAGUUAUGGUGAAGGACAAGGAAACUGAUCAGAUAUCCAGGAAAAUCAGACACUCAGUAUGGGGAAAACUGGCUAAAUCAACACAACAGAAUUCCAGGUAAAACUGAAUUUUAAAGGAAAGUGCAGAGAGACAGGCUUAGGAUAAGAUUCAGGAGCCUCCUAACUUCUCGUGAAGCAAAUUAGCUUCAUCAGGUUGGGACACAUAAAUGGUAGCACUUUCUGCUGACCAAACUCAUGACUAAAUGAAAUGAGAACAGUACAUCACAAAAAUGUAAACUGAACCAUAUUCAGAAUUUCUGAAGAUGAUGAGUGGCAGAAUGAGCUGAGGUGUGAUAGAUCAGGGGGUCUCCUAAUUCUGAAUCCUGCAAUUAGUUCUAAGCAGCAUUCACUGACAACAGCACAGCUCGAGAUUCCCACAUGCACAAACACCUGACUCCAUGAAUCUGCAGCCGGGGGUCUCUGCAGGCUCUGAGGUGCACAGGACAUAUCCCACCUCAGAUUCAGCCUCAGGUAAUUAUCUGCUGUUCCCGUGGGGAGGAGAGGAACAGUGUGGAAGGAGGGUCAGCUGUACUCCACUCAGGAUCUCUGUACAUGGAGGAAAACAAUGAAAGUGGGGAACACAUGUCCUCAACUUAUGUUACACUUCCACAUGAGAAAGGCAACACCAUGCCAGGACAUUCUGCAGAAUCAAAGAAUAAAGCUCUCAAGGUAAAUGUAGGAAUCACCAUUGUUUACAGACUGUAUGUUUAUUUCUAUGUCAUCCACAGAAAUUAAGUAAAAGUUGUGUUCUGUAUGGAACCCACAUCAUAUGGGUUCUGAGUCAGGUCUUCCCUCCCUCCACCUGCAGGGAGCACAGUGCACCUGAGCCAUGCGCCUGGGGCUGCACUCUGAUGUGCAUGCCACGGCUGGUGCUGGGGCCACGUCCUGUGCUCCACUCUCAGGAGAACAAUGAGCUCCGCGCUGAUCUGAGUAGAGCCACUGCUGGGAGUCACGGGGGUCCCCGAUGGGAAACUUUGACAUGACUCAGAUACAGUGACUUGCUGGACCUUCCUAGAACAGCACAGUUUAAGGAAGUUCCACUGAGUUAUCCUCCCUCUCUCCUUCACUCAGGGACCAACUUCCCUCAUAUGCCUUCAGCUUCCCCAGCCUCCUUCCACCCGCUCUGCGUUUCCUCUCAAAAGCGUGGACCGGUUCCUUAGGAAACUGUACAUAAACCUAAUCCAUUCAUAGAAUGUGCUUCUCCGAAGACCAACACUAACACAUGUGUUGGCAAAGCUGUUCAUAAU
rnacentral:lncRNA from 1 species